rnacentral:rRNA from 1 species
CAACGCCGCGUGGAGGAUGACGGUCUUCGGAUUGUAAACUCCUGUCAUCCGGGAGUAAGACCUGGCGGUUAACAGCCGACAGGGUUGAUAGUACCGGAAGAGGAAGGGACGGCUAACUUCGUGCCAGCAGCCGCGGUAAUACGAAGGUCCCGAGCGUUGUUCGGAAUCACUGGGCGUAAAGGGAGCGUAGGCGGCGCGGUAAGUCAGAUGUGAAAUCCCGGGGCUCAACCCCGGAACUGCAUCCGAUACUGCCGUGCUAGAGGAUUGGAGAGGUAGCUGGAAUUCUUGGUGUAGCAGUGAAAUGCGUGGAUAUCAAGAGGAACACUCGUGGCGAAAGCGAGCUACUGGACAACUCCUGACGCUGAGGCUCGAAGGCCAGGGGAGCGAAAGGGAUUAGAUACCCCUGUAGUCCUGGCAGUAAACGGUGCACGCUUGGUGUGAGGGGAUUCGACCCCCUCGUGCCGGAGCAAACGCGUUAAGCGUGCCGCCUGGGAAGUACGGUCGCAAGACUA